UAAAUACUAGUAAUAUUGAUAUUUUAAUUCCAGAUAUAUGUAAAAUGUAACUUUUUACAAAAAUAUGUAACUUUCACAGUAUAUUGUAACAACACUGGAUACUGGAAAUACAUUUUCUUGUAACUGACUUCUUUCACGUAACAAUAGUAUUGAAGUUCCAUAGUAUAAUGGUUAGCACUCUAGACUCUGAACAACAGUAUUGAUGUGGGGCUGUCAGAAAACUGGGAGUCUCGGUGUUGGCAGCCGCUGUGCACACAGAGCAGGGCACCCAGCAAGUGCUGGCGGUAACUGCCAAAAUGAACAAAAUUCCACAUCUGCAGAAGCCCCGCAGUCCAGAGUUACCUCUACAUGGACCAACUGUUCUUUUUAGCCUAUAACGAUUUUAUGGGACUAAUGACUUGGAAGUUUAACUAACGGAUUCUUGCCAAUUCUGAUAGUGGUGUGUCUUAAAAUUUUAAAGACGAAGGGAAAGAUUCAUCUUGAAGUCACUUAGGCUGCAAAAGAACAGGCAGUUUGUGUGAAGUUGGCUGUCACCAGCCUCUUCACAAAAGUCUCCGUUCUGGGUGCUGGGAAAAUGAAAGUCAACUGCUCCCGUAUGUACACACGACAGCGAGAUCAAGGGGUUCUCCUGAAUAGACGCCCACGUAUGCUCGCACAUCAGCACGGAUAUGCUCGCAUCAUCGGCAGGUAAUCAGAACUCUGACGGGGCUCUGCGAGGGCCGGGCACUACCUCACCGGACUUCUGCAAAGCAGGAGCACCUGUGAUUCACGACCACCAAAGGGCUCCGCGAGACAAACCAGGCACGACACGAAUGUUGGGGCUAUUAAAAAAUCCUCUGCUAGUCCGCGCUGAGGUUGGGGAAAUUCCAAUCCAGCAGCUGCGGUCUGUCUUAAUCACCAGGGCAACCGGACCAGGAGCCGGUGCCGACAAAAAUCACUGCCAUUAUCUCUUGCUGCUCUGACUCCAGGGGAGUUAUAUCUGGGUGGGUUUCUGCUUCAUGAUAACAGCACCAGCUACUACUCUGGGGAAGAGAGAGAGGAUCCCUUACAAGUUUGCCAGAUUUUAGAGAAUAUUCAGUAAAUCCCGACAAGGGUCCCUAUGGGAUCGGUCACCCUUGUAAGUCCUUAAACUUCAUGGAUUAAAAAAUUAAACCAUGCCAUUAAAUUAGGUCAUACAGGUAUAAAUUACACAUGGAGACCUUUCUGAAUAUAUUAUCCAUACCGUGAUUCUUACCUUGUAUGCAGUAUGCACACAAUGAGUGCUAAAGGAAUGAAUGAACAAUGAGGGUCACUAUUCUUAUAGAAUUAGUCUAGCAGAGAGAACAAGAAUACUAGAGAAAUCAUGAAAGUUACACUUAAUAUCUCUGGGCACUAUAUGUGAACACACACAGUACUUUCUUCAUAAUAGCUAACAUAUAUUGAGUCCCUACCAUGUGUCAGGCACUGUUAAAAUGCUUUAGAUGGAGGAGAGAGAUACUCAUUUAAUCCUAGCAACCAACUUCUAAGGUGUUAUUUUACAUUAUACAGAUGAGAAAACUGACACUUAGAGAAUUUAAGUAACUUGCCCAAGGUCACACAGCAAACCAGGAUUGAAACCCCAGUAGUCUAGCUGCGGAGCCUGCAUUCUUAACCACCACAUUCUCCUGCUUCUGUUGCUUCUAAAAGGGACCUUCUCACACUGUGGCAUUUGUGAAACCCAUGUACGGCUUCUUCUUACUAUACACACCUAACAUGGUCAUUACUUCCCUCCUCAAGAAGUAAUCAGUGGUUCACCUUAGAGUCAACUGUGUCUUAGAUCAGGGAGAGGUGGCACCUGGGAUGUGCAGGCAGUCACUUGACUCCUCUGGAAAUCAGUUUUCUCACCUGUAGAAUGAAGUAACCGAACAGGUUCCUGGAAGGUCCUUUCCUAACUGUGGUUCCUCCUCACCAUGAUAAGGGCCGAGUGGCUGGAAACAGUGC